rnacentral:rRNA from 1 species
AUUGAACGCUAGCGGCAGGCUUAACACAUGCAAGUCGAGCGAGAGGGGGGCGGGUGAGAAAUGUAUGGGCAAAUGCGUGGGGGAGGGGGAUAACUACUGGAAACGAUAACUAAUAACGCAUACCAUCAGAUGUGCCGAGAUGGGAUUAGCUAGGUGGUGGGGUAAGGGCUCACCUAGGCGACGAUCCCUAGCUGGUCUGAGAGGAUGACCAGCCACACUGGAACUGAGACACGGUCCAGACUCCUACGGGAGGCAGCAGUGGGGAAUAUUGCACAAUGGGCGCAAGCCUGAUGCAGCCAUGCCGCGUGUGUGAAGAAGGCCUUCGGGUUGUAAAGCACUUUCAGCGAGGAGGCGUUACUCGCAGAAGAAGCACCGGCUAACUCCGUGCCAGCAGCCGCGGUAAUAC